GAAGCAAUGAUGAGAUGAAAACACAAAGGUGUGUUGGGCAGUGGGUAAUACCGUGAGCCUUGACAAUUUAAAACGACUUCUCCUUCCACUGAGCUUC